UUUCAUUCGAAUUUAAACCUUCUUGUUUAAAUGUUCCUUUCUAGGCAUUCUGAAUCUUUAGAAUCUUGCUUUGCCAAGAUUGGGGUUUCUAUCUUGGAGGUCUUAUGGGGUGUUGGUAUUAUUUAUUAUUACAUUAUCCUCCACCUAUGAGUUAGUUGCUUAAUUAAAUCUAUUUGUUGCAGGAAAUGCUAUUAGUGAGGGAAGAGGUGAAGAUGUGAAUGGGCUUUGCUAAUAGAAGCACUUCAUAUUAUGAUGCAUUGAAAGCAUUGUUCAGUUGGCGCCAAAAUUGGCCAUAUUUGUUUUUGCUGGAUAUUGUAAUUAAAUAAUAGGUGUUACGGUGGCAUGUCAUAAAUUUACAGGGUUCUUGAUAGUUGUCUCAAUUGUGGUCUUUUUGCCACGGUGGUCCCUUUUAUACACUGCCAGAGAUAAUAAAAUAUACUGUGUUGAUUUGAUGGGGCUCGCAUGUUAUAAUUACUUUGAGAUUCAUAUUAAAUUAGGCCUUAACUUGUUACUAUACACUCAGCACAAAAAUGGACUCAGUUUGCAUUUUAAGUAUGCAUUUUACUGUAGUUUCUAGAUGUAACUCUUCAUUAAGCGCAAUAGAUUUAUGUCUAUAAAGAGUUCAUGAAUUUUGUGAUAGUGAGUGUAAUCAAAUUUUUUUUGGCCUUUAGUCAAAUCAGGCAUUAUCAAUAUUGCCAUGAUUGUUAUAAGAAUAGUAAUUAUUGGGGUCAUACGUAUUUUGUUUAAAUGGGGUGAUAUAUGAUAUCUACACGAUUAUUGAAUUGUUUGUUAUUUCCUGUUAUUAUUUCUUUAUUUGAUUUUCACCUUUUGUUUCUUGUUAAUGAUGAUGAAGAUGUGGAAUUCAUUGCCUGAAGUUGGAUUACCUAGUUCCACUAAUGUCCAAUGUUUCCAAUUUCUUUUAAUGUUUUUCCAGGGUGGUAUCAUUUGAAUUUAGAAGGUUUAUAAAAUCACAACUGCAUAAAUUGGUUCCUACCAUUUUAAUUAGGCAGUGCUUGCCAUGGUGAUGGAGGAAAAUUGCGGCCCCUUUUGGGGCAUUAUUUUCUUCCGAUUUAUGAUUUAAUAAAUCAGGAAUUUGCUCUGCUCAAGUACUUCCACAAUUCAAGGAGCAAAUUUAAUUUCACAGUUUGGUUCACUUUGAGCAUUUGACUAUUUUGAUUCACCAUUCUAUACUAGCAGAGUGUGGAUAACAAGUGGACAUAUUUGAGUUUUGUUAUUUUGUCAGGCAUCAUAAGAGAAAAGGAAGAAGUAAGAAGUGGCAGGAGCCAGAGGCAUGAUCCUGAACGGAUCAGCCGACAGUUUUUUCGCGUAUCAGUAAUUGAACGCUAUUAAAUUGCAUUUGUGCUUUGGUAGUUUGUAAUUGCACUUUGCUGACAUGUAAAUUUGGGCUACAAUUCUCACAGAUUUCCGCGUAAGGAAGGCGGAUGAAAGAGAAUGGUGCAUGAUUUCUUCUCGAGAUUCGAAAAGGUUAAUUACUGUUUCUUUUAUUGUCUUUUUAUGGCUUGUGUUGAAAUGAAAUUGCAAUCGAAUUAUUAUUAUUUCAUAUAUCAUUUAUUUGUUGUGGCAUGAUACAUAUUUCACUCUAUACUCUGAAUAGGAGAUUGGAUGUAGUAAGAUAUAAUGGGUUUGUAGGAGACGACCCCGCUUAGAUAAUAAGAAAAAACCCCAAAGAGAUGGGAUGCGGGCUUCACUUUGAUGGCCAUCCAACUUUUUUGACCGUUGUCUCAAAUAUUAUUUGUCAUCUUUUUGAUGAAACCAAAGAAAAUUCCCAAAACGGAAAGUUUUUAAUAAACUUCAAAACUGGAAUGUGCCAUAUUUUUUAAUAAAAUGAUGAAAUUCAUCUGGAUGAAACCAUUUACUUAACCUUUCCUCUGUUUGCCAAUCUUAAAGAAAAAACAUAACCUUUCUCGUGUCAAGUUCAAAGCUCUCUAAUUUAUACAAGGAGAUGAAGCUGGCCAACAAUCAGCUUUUCACAUAGAAAUAUUCCGCAAAGAAAUCAUUUAGUAUGCAAGUUAUACUCUCUCGGUCUCUAAUUUUUUGUCCCUUUUAGAAAUUCUAACUUUUUAAGGAGAAGUGUAAUGAUUACAUUUAAUUUUAAAUUAGAAGGGGUUAAUUUCCAACAUUAACUAUUUAUUCUCACGUUUCAAUACAUUCAUGAGUAGGGAUAGUUUUGAAAAACUAAACAUUUUACACGUUUACUUUUCGGAGAGGACUAGCAAUUUGGGACAUCUGAAAAUGGAAAGAUGGACCAACAAUUUUGGAUGGAGGGAGUAAUAUUUUGUCAGCAAUCAAAGGCAUCUAUUGGGGACCCAUCAACUUUAGCAUGAAUGCCUGUAUGGGCUGUAUGGGCUGCCUUUUAUGGGGCUGUAACAUAUGAUAGUAUGAUUCUUUCUUAGAUAAUGCACUGUUCAUCUCUAAUAUCU
rnacentral:lncRNA from 1 species